UCAAAUUUGACCAAGUUUUUUGUAUUGUGAUGCGAAAACACCGCAGAUGAUGACCACACGUCUUCAAAGGAUGAAGCCAUCCUAAAUCGACUGUGCUGUUGCUACUGAACGAAUAGGUGAAAUUGCCAGGUUUGUCCAGUUUAUCAAUACCUCGAGAGAAAACCAACAUAUUAGACAGUUGUUUCUAAGAAUAUCGCAUAUCUAUUUAAUGAGAGCACAAGAAGGAUCACCUUGCAUAUUGCAGAGAAUUGUUACCUUUUUGGCACAAAGGAGGCAUGGCCAUAGAAACCUUCACUACAAGCUGGAAAUGCAUUGACAAAUAAAUAUACAAACAUUAUCCGACAUUGUAAAAUAGCAGAAUUAAUCUAUCGUGCGAAAUAAUAAAUUACAUUGGUUACAAUUG